rnacentral:lncRNA from 1 species
GCUGAACAUUCGGCUAUUCCAUGAACCACUUGCCCAAUACUCUGUAGUCCUAUUCCAUUUUAAAACAAAUUGAGUAUUCUUUGGGUCCAUUUCCAUAGAAUACAAUCCUGGUGCUGGAUCACUCGAAUUCUUCCAUGAUACCAAAACCUGUUUUCUUUGUGUACGUUUGUCAUAUCCAAUCUUAGCACCAGGCAUAAAAGUGUGUGUUGGGUGAUCAAAACUUUGCCAAAGUAGUAAGGGUGUUGAUGAAUUUGACACAUCACUCAAAAUCAAAUUUCCAUCAUCACGAAGAAGUGCAGUAACUGAAAUAUCUGGAUUGAUGUUUCCAGCAAGUGCCGACCAAACUACGCCUUGAAAUCUAUCAUGAAGCACCAGGUUUCCUUGACUAAUUUUCAUCUCAGCAGCACCAUAAUCAAGUGGUUUAUCCCUAUUUGCUACCCAAAUUACUGUUUGCGAUAAAAUAACGUUCUUGUACCAUAUGCCUAGAUAAUAUUUAAGAGAGUUACCUGGUCUGAAAAAACCAAGCUCAAAUAUCUCACCUGAAGAGACUAGAGUUUCACCAUAAGAAAGAGAUUCAUUCGCAGAAAUGGUGUCCCUUGCGAUACAGAGAUUAUUGUUGAGACUGAAGCAUAAAAAGAGUAGCAGAAAGUAAUGAGUGUUCUUCAUUUCCAUGGUACGUAGAGAAGUUGAUUGACUACUGAAAGAAUGAGAGAAAAUAAGGAGUGCAAAGUGUUUACGGAAGGAGAUUUUUCUUCUUUGGAGUCCAUGAAACUAGUCAAAACAAGUUUCUUGUUUUAUUGCUAAUAAAUAUACGUUGAUUAUUCUUACUUCUAGCAUACGUUGAUUGUUUCAAAAUAGGUGUGGAAAAAAUAUCUAGUCAUUCAUUCCACUCUGGGUGGUUGUGAUUUGUGAAAAUUAAGCAUACAAAAAAAACAUUAAUGCAUGUUUGUAAAGUCAUUUUGAUUAUCGGUUUUGGUGUAAUUGAGUGUAAUUACACUCUCUAACAUAUUUGGCUGGUCAUGUAAAUAUUCAGCAAAUAAUAGGAUGUAAUUGACAUGGGUAACUACACUCUCCGAUUCUCAGGUGUAAUUGAUCUUUAUUUUUAAUGUUUCCCGUAGAUGUAAUUACUUAAGGAUUUUUUUUAUUCAAUUGAGACUAGUUGUGUGAGGUUUCUAUUUGUCUCGUAAAAAUGUAGACUUGAAUCUUACCUUUUGGGUUAACAAACUUUAGGUCUACUUUCUGUGAGAGAAAAAAUCUCACACAAUAAUAUUAACUCUUGGAAAUAUAGUAUCAAUAUUUGGUGUCACCCUCCUUAAUUUCGAAAUGGUGGAAGUGAAACUCAAGGAAAUAUUUCUUGCUCCGUUCCUAUUUAUAUAUCACCAUUUUAGAUUUUACGUGCAUUACGAAACUAAGUAAGUUUACUAUUCUACUCUUAUUUAAUGUUUUCUUAAAGUUAAGUUUUCAAUCAAUGAACGUAAAUUUAAUUUAUUUUGAUUAAUUAAUUUGAUCAAUUGACAUAAAUUAUUUACUUAAUUUUUUUAUGUUGAUCAAAUGUAUAUUUUCAAGAUCAAUAACUCAUAACAAUAAAUAGGAAGAAUAAUGUCAAUGCAUUAAUUUUGUGAAAUGACAAAUAUUAAGAACCAUCUAUUUUAGUAAGGACGACAUAUAAAUAGGAACGCAGGGAAUAAUAAAUAAUGCAAGUGGAUCUCUACAAAAAUGGUGUCUCCUCCUUGCAAAAGAUUAUCGGUAGAAUGAGUGAUUGUUUGAAGACAAGAUAAUGAAAAUGAAAAAGAGACUUUUCUGCUUGGAGUUGGAAAUUUUUAUCUUUGGUCUACUUUUCUUUAGUCUUCCAACAGUCAAUAUCAACCUUCUAUUAUGACUAGAUAAAGAAAGGUUCAUUUAUGGGUUUAAUAUUAUAAUUUUAAAGAUUGGGGUCUGCUCUUUCUUUUUUGGGAGAGUAUGCCAAUAUGAUCUUAAUGAGGUACGGGGCUUUGCAUCUGACAUUCGUUGGGCUUCUCUCUUCGGGAGCCUGCGCCCCGGCCUUUUUGUUCAAUAAACCCCUCCGGCCGAAGACUAGUGGCCCAAAAAAGCAAAACCUCACUAGACUGAGGCCCAUUGCUAUAGGGGUCUCGGCUUCCAUAAAAAAAAGUUAGUAACUUCUACGCUAGUCUUCACAAUUACUCCACUUCCCAGUCUCAGUAGUGGUUGCAGGUGCACAUGAAGAAGACUUGGAUAAAGGCACAUAUGAGUAGCAGAAUGGAAGAUUGGCUUUUUAGAUAAGGUUUCGUUAUAAGUAUUUAAUUAGAUUUUUAGAAAGAAAAGUUAUUAUUACUAUUUUCAAACAAACACGAUAGUAAAUGAUAAAUAAGAAGUACUUGUCAUUUCAUAUUAGUUUCUUAGUUUUCCUCACAUGCAUUACACCAAUAAUACUAUACAAUAGUUAACAUGUACACAUUGCAUACUUUGGAAAACAACGAAUCAUUAUCUACCCGAAGGAUUUCUUCUUGAAUAUUCCUAGCAUAAUACAAUCAUCCCAAAUACCUUUCCUAAGACAACGCCUAGCCAUAUCCUACCGUCAACCAUAACCAGUCAGCCCAUCAUAGCCUAAACUAUAGGUAAACCACACAUUCAACCAGCUAGACUCUGUAUCCGAAGACUUAUGCAUGAACUUCUCUGACAAUCUACACGAUACUAUACUAGUAAAUACAUAUCUAACUACUCAGUUAAGAAAAUCUAACCUACCUGAGCGACGAUCAACUGCUGAAGAACUAAGAACACGAGUCUCCGUCUUUGUAAGGGUGAAUCUUGACGGACGUAGAUCAGAAUUCCUUAGUUUUGACCCUCCUUGCGGUUAGAAUCCCUCCUCUCCAAGUUCUUCAAGCUUUGAAGGCUUUUAGAGUAACCCGCAUCUAUUUUAUCCUUGAAGGAGGUGAUAAAUAUAAAAGAAUUCGUAUUUCUGAGAUUUUGCACUGCCUGAUCCACUAUAUCGGUUGGCACGCCACUGCAGCGAUGUCGCGAGGAAAUUCUCGCUAUGAAGGGAUGACAUCAGCUCAAGUCAGAAAUCAAUUUCCAAAAUUUGUCGUAUCAUCCCAAUUUAAAUUGGCGGUGAGUUUUCAAAUAAAAUAUUCAGGAUUUCGCACGAGGUGCCUUUGAGUAACGAUGGAACUGGUCAUUACAUUUUCAUUCCCCUUUCAUUAUUUGAUUGUCUUAUUAAUGAAUACUAGCUAGUAUAUGUGCUCGCGCGAUGCGCGAAUAAUAUUGAAGCGUUAUUUCUAAACACUUUAGAAUGUGAUAUUUUGUUCGAACAUGUUAAAUGACAUUACCUUCAAAACAAAAUCAAACUGUACAUCAUAUUGUUCCUCAAUGAAAUACACACCCUCUUCUCCCCACGUCCUGCCUCAUCCAACAUCAUAUCUCCCAUAAUAAAUCUAUACGAAUAGAGACAAUGAAUCAAGUUUUAAAUUGUUAAUAUUAAUUUUUUAUUAUCUUCAUUUGGCUUACUAUAAUUAUCAAGUGCUCUUCUUAUUAUAUUAAUUAAUACAACCAAAUCUAGUUAAAUUGUUAAUGUAUUGAUCAAUAAUUGUGAAGUCUUCCAAAUGGUCAUACUUCUGUAUUAUGUAAAAUUUAUUGUUCUGUCCACAAAAAAAAAAUUAGUUUUUUAUGUCUUUUUCAAAUUUUAAGCACCGCAACAAGUCAAUGAUAUUUCAAUAUCAUUAUAUCUACUUAAAAAAUUCAAUGCAACACUAUUUCAGUAUCAUUAUAUCAACUUCUAAAAUUCUUGAGGGAGAUUUUAUAAUUCUAACUUGAUAUUAUAUUUUCAUUGUUUACAUUCUUACUUUAUAAGGUUUGCGUACAUCAUAUCCUCUCCAAACCUCACUUGUAGGAUUAUUGAGUAUGUUAUUGUUAUUCAAUUUAUAUAUGUCUAUAAAAAGAAAAAAAAUUAAGCCCUCUCUGUGAAAUUUGACUUUAGACCGCAAUCUUCUUGAGACGACACUACUUUUAUGAGCUUGUGGGAAUAUAGGCAAACCUGAUAAGGCCUCUUUUACUGGAUGAAUAUUGUUUUAUCAUGGAUUUCAAUUUGUUACCACGUAGUGGUGUAUAGAGGUGACAAAAUUAAACUCAAUUCACUUAACUUGCUUAAUCCAUUCAAGUUUGAGUGAGUUAUUGACUCACUUAUUUAUUAGGUCAUUUCAUUUCAGUCCAUUAAUAAUUGGAUUGAUAUGUAAUCCAAAUUAGCUCGGGAGAAAUCUCGUCAAAAUAUGUUUUACUUAAUAUGUUAUAUAUAUAAUAAUAAUAAAGAAAAUAAUAAUUGUAUUAGCUACUAAAAAAUUAUAGAAGAACAAAGUAAGGAAAAAUUACAAGGAUAUUGCGUUUAAGACUUUAAUACUCUUUUUUAUUUACAAAAUUAAGUUUUUAAUUACAAAUAUAGAAAUUUAAAGUACUACACAUUUUUUUUUUUUUUUUUUUUUUUUGGGGGGGGGGGGGGNNNNNNNNNNNNNNNNNNNNNNNNNNNNNNNNNNNNNNNNNNNNNNNNNNNNNGGGGUUAAUGUGCCUAUCUUUUGGGACUCAUAACACGCCCAUUAUUCAUCUCAAUAACAAGAAUAUUCUCUUAUUAAUAGGAUAUGUUUCUCUCUCUUAUUACUUUCUCAUCUCUUCCAUUAUUAGUAUCUAGGUAAAACCUCUAUUCUUGAUAUUAAUAUUUUUGGUUCUUUUCUAUUCUUGCUUCUUUUUUUUAAAUCACCUCUAAUUCAAAAACAAAAAUUGUUUUUGUUAUUAACUUUUACUAUGAAAAUUUCAUGAAUUCUACUCCUAGAAAGAGCAUUAGGUCAAGGCUUGACGCAAUAUCAACAAUCCCAUCUUAUGUUCUAAAUUAUGUUUUGAGUUGAAUGCAUUCACUCUAUUUUCCAUGAAUAUGAAAGAGUAAUUCAUGCCACAAAUAGUGAAAUUUCUUUCUCUGUUACAACUAAUUCGCCAAAAGAAAAAAGUAAGGAGAAAGAUGUUAGUGCAAAUUCUCUCAUUAUUACCUUCAAAUCGGCAAAGGUAAGGAGAAAAAGUUACAACUGUUAAUUCGAAAAAGAUCUGGAUGAUCAUAGUGAAUAUGAUUUGUAUCAUGUAAUCCAUAAAUAUCGAAAUAAUUUUUAAACACAAUUUGUUUUAGUGCAUACACGUUAGUGACCAAUUUGGUACAAUUGUUGAUGAUAUGUUUUUUUAAAAUAGUAAUAUGUAUUAAUCUUUAGUGACUGAUCUAGUACAAUAAUUGGUGAUUUGUUGAUUUUUAACUGUUAUAUAUUUUAAUGUCUAUAGUUUGAUAGAUGAUAUAGUUAAAAUAUUGAUAAUAUGUUGAUUUAAAUUUGAUGGAUGGUUGGCUAAUAUUUUGGUGAUAUGUUGGUUUAGAACUAUAAUAGAAAUUGAUUUAUAAUUGAUGAUAAGUUUGAUUUUAGUUAUAUGUUUCAACCCUACAAUGCGUAACACCAUAAUCUAAUCAAGUAUAUACCAAUUUUUUAGUAUCAUCAAGUUAAUUUAUAUGGUGUACAAUGUGGUGUAACCUUUGUGUCAAGUUCAAAUUUAAUAACUACAACAAUUACAAAUAAUUGGUGGAUUUGUUGGUUAAAAAUAAAUGGCGAUUUGUUGAUUUAAAGUUGCAAUAUGUAUAGUGUUAUAUAUGAGUAGUAAAUUGCAUAGAUGGUUUUUUUUUCCCAGUAAGUUAUUAAAAUGUAAUACAAAUUGAGCGGGUUGAGUUAUGACCCUUACUGUAGCCCAUUUCAACCCAAAUAAAUUUUGAACAAAACGAUAACUUGCAUAUUUAUUAGUAUAAAAUACUUAGCGUCCCGCCAUUCUUUCUUGUUAGCACUGGAAAUCUAACACAUUCUACGGUAGAACUCUUAUAAAGUGAAAAGUCGUUCUUUAGUUAAAGCAGAAGAACAGAAACUGAGGGAAAAAAUCUAUGUAAACUCCAACAAUUUGGGUGCUAGUUACAUCUUAUCUCGAAAUUUUUUCAAAUUACAAUAAUUUCGAAUUUUUUAGAACUCGUGAAUAUAUUGCUCCUUCCCCCAAUAUAUAACAAACGACUCAUAAUUUUUGUAUCAGAUAUAUAAAUUAUGUAUCACAUACAUUACUAUAAACCAGACUCAUACUGAUUUAGAUAUGAAAUAAUUGAGAUUAUGUAUAACGAUAACAUUUAUAAUUAUCUAAUUUUCUCUAUUUAUGAACUCAGCCUAACUUAACACAUCAAAAUUGAGUUUAACCCGGUCCAUUUGAUACACUAGUGGUGCAUAAGGCUGCGCAACGGACCGGAACGGAACCAUCGGAACGAACCGAUAUCGGAACGGGACGGUUUGACCGGUUUGUUGAUCGGUACCGGGAUGAAUCGGAUCGGAAUUAUCGGGACGGAUACUCGGUUUCGUCCCGUCCUACUAUAUACCGGGAUGGAAUCGGAAUGGAUCGGAAUGGAACGGGAUGGGAUAAACGGGACAACACAUCUAGAUAUUUCAAAAAAUGAUAAAAAAAUUUUUUAGUUUUUUUUACUUUUUGAUUACGAAAAUAUGAAUGUUUUUUUUAUUUUUCUAAGUUUGAACUUUAAAUUAAUAGUUUUGAAAUUUAUAAAUUAUAAUGUAAUUUUACUUAAGUUUAUUUUAAAGAUAUUUUUAAAAUUUUUUUACCUAUUAAGUCUACAAGUUAAGUUUAAUAAAGUUUUUUUAAAAGUUUUUUAGCUUAGUUUUCAAAUUUCAAGAUUUGAAUCUUUUGAAGUUUAUAAGUUAUUACUUAUUAAUAUGUUAUAACUUAUAAGUUAUAUAUAUAAUUUGUAAUUUAAAUAACUUAAGUUUGUAAUUUAAAAAAAUAAAUAAAAAUAAGAAUAAAACAAUGACACAAUCACACAAAUUUUAAGAAAAUAAAAAAAACUUUUGAAUCUUGUAGAUUUAAUUAAAGAUAUAUAUAGAAUAUAUCAAAACACAUUUUAAUCUUAUAGUCUGAAACAUGUUAUAUGAAUUGUUUUUAUAAAUUUAUUUAAAGAUAUAUAAAAUAUAUCAAAAUACAUUUUAAUAUUAAAAUCUUAAAUAUGUUACACACAAAUUUUUGCUAAAAACAAGAACAUUAAAGGAAAGAAAAACAAGCCAUUUUAAAACGUAGAAAGUACUACUUAAUAAAUAUAUUGUUUCAUGUUUCUCACUCAAUGCGUUCGAUAUGUGUUUUGAAAUAUCAAUUAAUUUGAAUUUACAUUGCACAAACUCAUUAAAAGUAAGGGCGGAUCAAUAUCAUUGAUGAUCUAAAGCCAAAUUGCAAUUUAUUUUAUUUUUUUCAAAGAAAAAUUNNNNNNNNNNNNNNNNNNNNNNNNNNNNNNNNNNNNNNNNNNNNNNNNNNNNNNNNNNNNNNNNNNNNNAUAUAAUUUUUAUUUAAAGUCUGUUUUCUAACUUUUUAAAACUAAAGUUAUAAAUAAUUAUUUUAUAAUCAACUUGAUCUUCUAAUAUUAUUUUUUCUUCAAUUAGUAAAAUAGUAGCAAUCUAUUCAACAUUUUUUUUCAAACAUUUCAAAUAUCAAACAUUGGAAAAGUUAUAUAUUUUAUUUUUUUAUAUAUAAAUUAUAAUAGAAAAUAUAAAUUAAUUAAUAAAAAAUAAUUAACCGAAACCGGACCGGAACGGAACCGGAACAAACCGGGAUAAACCGGUACCGGUACACCGGUAUCAAAUCAUGAUACCGUUUCGUCCCGUGUACCAGUUCACGGUGUCCCGUUCCAUCCCAAAGACUACCGGACCGGAAUGGUACCGGUACCGGUACAACCUGGUCCGGUGACCAGCCUUAUCAGACUUCACUGGUGCACAUCCUUCGUGUUGUCUUCCUUGACAUUUCAGCCCAUUCAAAAAAUUAUACUUUCCAUCACCAAAUAGCUUGAUUUCAUCCCUUUUAGGCAACCAUUAGUCCAGGAUUGGUAUUACAUAUUCUAUAUAUUUCCAAUUGCAUCCAAUUGCAAGUUUUGGUAGGUUAGGGAUCUCCAUUUUGUUAUUGGUCCGAUCGGUCUGCUCUGAGCUUCUUCAACUGUAAGUGCUCCACUCUUGUUGUUGUAGAAUCUAUUCAAAUCACUACUUGCUUGGGAUUGAGGAGGCAGAGUAGUUAUUGUUGUGUUGAGUCUAUUGAAACGAGGACUGGACUGGAUGGACUGGUUAUGAUUCUCCAAAGUCCGAGCUACUGGUUGAAUGCUUGAGUAAAUGCCUAGUGAACAUUAUGUUCUUGCAUUCACAAGCUAAGUAAAAAAUAAGUUAUCUGUUUUAACGAUAAUCAAGAGAUAAAAAAGAAGAUUAGGCAAAGCUAGAUAUUUGUAAAUGUAAGGGUUGUGUGCUCUUGUUUAAUGUCCACGGUCUCGUCAUGCUCUUGGUUGUGUCUGUUAGAGUGGGUAAAAGUCCACAUUGGUUGGGAAUGGACGGGUGGUCUCUUAUAUGGACUUUGGCAAUUUUUCCCUCAUGAGCUAGCUUUUGGAGCAUGAGUCAGACCUAAGACCUAAUUUAAUAUAGUAUCAGAGCCAAGCCCAUCUCAAUUUGUUGUUCACCGAUGUUGGCCCAUCAGUAGAGGGAUGAGAGAUUGGUCUCUUUAUAUGGACUUAGACAAACCUCCCCCAAUGAACUAGCUUUUGGGGUAACUUUUAUGCUCAUAUCUUAGAUCUUUAAUUAAAUGAAAAACCUCUUUCAUGAACUAAUCCAAAGUUUCUUCUAGGUUAAAUUUCAUUGUGUAUAAUGGGAAGAAACUUCAGCUUCUCUCUUUAUCUAAAGUACAGAAGUUUGAAAGCUGUCUUUCCUCAACAAACAGACAACAGGUAUGAGUAAGAAACUUAAUUUUAUAUAUAUAUAUAUAUAUAUUUCCACCCAAGUUGGAUCAGGUCUCUAUUUGCUAAGUGUUGUGUCAUAUCUGGAAAGUUCCCGGAAAAGGCAUGCAUGGAUUUGCCUAGUUACAUUGGAAAGAAGCACUUGAGACUUAAGUUAGUGAUAAAGUUUCAACAAGGUGGCUUUAAAUAAAUACAGUUUGUUAAAAAGAUUUGCACUAGUGAAUCAAUCGUGUCUACUUUUUAUGUUGCACAUUCUGUUGAUCGAUACUUCAGACAUUUGUUUUGCAGUUUUGUUCUUUAAGUGCAACUCCUUUCUUUGUUUCUUUCCUCAAUGCUGUUUUCAUGCAUUCUCUGGACAAACUUUUCUCUCUUUUGGGGGAGGUGGUUGGGCCAAUAAGAUAUUGAAUAAGAAAGAAAAAUUACAUUGCUUGUACAUUUGAAGGCAUCAGGAAUAAUCAAAUUACUCUUGUACUUGAUUGCUAAGACCUACUACAUUCUAAAGCAAAAUUGUAUAUGUUUUGAGUACAAACACUUGAAAGUUUUCCCAACAUUUCCACCUUUUGUCCUAACUAUUAUAGAGAAGACGACAUUUGGCCAAGUACCGACACACAAUUAUCCCUGGACUCUUUUAGGACCAAAGUAGAGGUUAACAAGGAUAAAAAAGUAUAAUAUGGCUCAUCUUUAAGUCCUAGCUAGUGCCACCCCUAGCCCUUUCCAUACGAAUUAAAUGCCUUCACUAUUCCUGCUAACGUCCUUCUUCAACUGUAAUCGUCACCUGAUUGUUGGAUACGAUGUAUUUCUUAUCGGAGGAAGAAGAAGAUGUACUAGAAGCAUGUGUCCUUAUUACAAAAGCUGGUCUAUUAGGUGUUGGAAGGUUAGUACCUUCCCCUCCCAGCAUUAAAAUGACAUCUGACAUAUUAGGACGAUGAUUUGGAUCUUCUUGUACACACAGGAGUGCAAUAUUUAUGCACUUCAAUGCUUCACUUUUGUUGCAUGAUUCAAGUAGUGACUUCUCUAUUAAUUGUAUCUCAGUUUUUUCUGUCCACAAUUUCCAUGCCUGUGAUAAUUUUUCUAUCAGAGAAACAAAGCUAAGAAGAAGAUAUAAUAAUUAAGUCAUGGGAAGUUUCUUCACUUACAUAGCCCAACAAGUUUAAGGCUUCUUCUGACUGAUAAAAUCCUGUAUUCCUUCUUCCACUGAUUAUCUCAAGUACGACUACUCCAAAACUGAAUACGUCUGAUUUGAUGGAAAACAAUCCAUCUAGUGCAUAUUCAGGAGACAUAUAGCCGCUAGAUUUCAUCAGGUGAACAAAACAUUUGAGUAUAAGAUCUUAUCCAAAGCUCCUUUUGUAAGAAAUUAAUGACAGGAAGAGAUAUAAUACUUACUAGGUCCCCACUACUUUCUUUGUAUUUGCUUCUGUUACUUUUCCUUCAACAAUCCUUGCCAAGCCAAAAUCUGAAAUUUUCGGGUUCAUCUCCUCAUCUAAUAAAAUGUUACUGGUUUUUAAAUCUCUAUGAAUGAUCCUUAGUCGUGAAUCAUGGUGAAGAUAAGAUAGACCCCGUGCAAUGCCCAGUAUGAUGUCAUAACGUUUCUUCCAAUCCAAUAAUUGACAAAGUGUUCCAUCUUGCAUCGUUACCAUGACAAAGUUUGGUACGUCAAUAAAAUUAGAUCAUUAUAAGAAAUGUAUGACUUUGAGAAUAAAGAACUUAACAAGGCUAACUCACCAAAUAUGAAUGUAUCUAAACUUUUAUUCGGCAUAUAUUCAUAAAGUAAUAUUUGUUCCGUUGCAUUGAUGCAAUAACCCAAUAGCCUCACCAGAUUUCGAUGUUGAAGCUUUGCAAUUAGAGUCACUUCAUUCUUAAAUUCAUCUAUGCCUUGUCCUGAUUGACUGGAUAACGUUUUUACUGCAAUUUCUUUUUCGCCCGGAAAGAUACCCUGCAAAAAAAAUUCAUCUCAUUACUAUAGGUCAAUAUGGCCAUGCCAGUCCAUAUAGAUGUAGGAAUGAAGUUUGAACCUUGUAAACAGGACCGAAUCCUCCUUGUCCGAGCUUAUUCGCAUUUGAGAAGUUGUCUGUAGCUUCCAAAAUAGUCUCCAAGUGAAAAUAUGGAACAUCAAUCGCUUCAUCACUGUUUUCAUUCAUUAAUACUUUUGCUUCUCCUUCAGCUUUGUGCCAGUGAGAUUUAUGUGCCCCUUGAAUACCUUUACUUCUAUCUGAUUGAGAAUGACCUUUGAAAGUAAGUUCAAAAUGCUAUAAGAGAAAAUAUCUUUCAGAGUAAGAUUCAUUCAGCAACUACCUGCUCUUUUUGCAAUUCUUCUUUUAUAGUAAAUGUAGCUAAUGCUGCCUAUGAGUAGAAACAUCAAAACUGAUAUUGACGAAAGGAUUGCUUUUAGCUUCAUCGACUUCUUAGCUUUAGUUUGAGCUGAAAGGAGAAUCAUUGUUGUUAAGUGCUAAUGGUUAAUAAGGAAUUCUAUCCAUAACAUAGUACUUAUAUGAAAUAAAGAAUCAAGCUAUGUUAAUAUGCUAUUCUAACCUUCAGGUGAGCCGCGUUUGACAAAUAUUGUCCUUUUUGACUCAGUUGUGCUGAGUUGUUCCAGAUUGAACAGAUCCCCUGUCCAGAUGGAACAGGUACCGGAACCAUCAUAAGUAUAAGCAGUGCAAGAGCAAUCGUUGAAACAUGCAGAUCUACACUGUGAGGCUGUCCCAACUGUGAUAUUAGUAUUAUGAGAAGCAGGUACUCUCACAAUUGAAGUUAUCCAUAAACUAUCUUUGUCUUCAGUAAUUGCAUCACACUGCACCUUUUCGUCUGUUACACAGCCACUGGAAUAAUCAUUUGAAUUCCAUUCUGCAUCUGAUCUUUGCUUGAAACCACUCAAACAAUUGCAGGUUGCAUUAGCUUCAUCACAAACUCCAAAUGCCCCACAUAUAGCAUAAACCUGACAAGAUUCUCUUGGUUGAGUCCAGAAUAAAUUCCAAUCAAUGCUACCAUCCAACCAUGACAGUUGCUUAAUUUGUCCCGAGACAUCCAUUAUCAAUCUUGAUGUGAUUGUACUAUUGUAAAGGGAGUAUGUAAAAUAUGACUCAUUCUCAUUGUCGAUAUAGCUGUAAUUAUAUAUGUAGUUUAAGCUCAUCUCAGGCACUAAGCCGAAUCUUUGGCCAUCCCAUGAACCACUUGCCCAAUACUCUGUAGUCCUAUUCCAUUUUAUAACAUAUUGAGCAUUUUUUGGGUCCAUUUCUAGAGAAUACAUUCCUGGUGCCGGAUCACUCGAAUUCUUCCAUGAAACCAAAACCUGUUUUCUUUGUGUCCGUUUAUCAUAUCCAAUCUUAGCACCAGGCAAAAAAGUGUGUGUUGGGUGAUCAAAACUUUGCCAAAGUAGUAAGGGCAUUGAUGCCUUUGACACAUCACUCAAAAUAAAAUUCCCAUCAUCACGAAGAACUGCAGCAACUGAAAUAUUUGGAUUGAUG